AAUAAGUUAACUGUGGACACCGAAG
rnacentral:piRNA from 1 species